AACGAACGCUGGCGGCAGGCUUAAUACAUGCAAGUCGAACGCUCCAGCAAUGGAGAGUGGCAGACGGGUGAGUAACGCGUGGGAAUCUACCCAAUACUACGGAAUAGCUCAGGGAAACUGGAAUUAAUACCGUAUGUGCCCUACGGGGGACAGAUUUAUCGGUAUUGGAUGAGCCCGCGUUGGAUUAGCUAGUUGGGGGGGGCAUGGCCUACCAACGCGACGAUCCAUAGCUGGUCUGGGAGGAUGAUCAGCCACACUGGGACUGAGACACGGCCCAGACUCCUACGGGAGGCAGCAGUAGGGAAUAUUGGACAAUGGGCGAAAGCCUGAUCCAGCCAUGCCGCGUGAGUGAUGAAGGCCUUAGGGUUGUAAAGCUCUUUCAGUGGGGAAGAUAAUGACGGUACCCACAGAAGAAGCCCCGGCUAACUUCGUGCCAGCCGCCGCAGUAA
rnacentral:rRNA from 1 species